CAUUGGUCACCGUGAAAUUGUUUGGGAAUUCUCAAACGGAUUGCAAAACAGUUUUCUUGUUAAACUGUUAAAUUGAUAACUAAGCGAGACUAUUCAUGGAAUCUAAACGAUUUUUUAAUUAAAAACAUUUUUGGGUUACCUGUUGUGUAAAAUACAACAAACCUUCACCAGCUACAGGUCCGUGGACAAAUGCCUGAGUUCCAUGCACAACGCAACUUCAGACAUCAGAGCAUUAAUGUCUGUAUUUUAAAAUAUAGUUUAGCUGGUGGAAUAGUUAUUUUUGUCUUCUUAAAAACCGUGGUGCUUUAGAUGCACAGAAAGAACAAGUGGAAAUCUAUGGAAAUAAAAGCCCUAUGGUACCCAGGUAGCCUGGGUAGCCUAGCUACCUGAUGUUGCUCAUUAAACAUCUAGAAUACCGUCGGUGAAUCCACUGCACAUUACACUUGUUUCAUGAUGGACAGCAAUUUUCAGGAGGAUGCCAGCUGAAGAAAAUUAGCCCCUGCCAAAGACACGUCCACUGCUGAGACCGCCCAAUGGGAGCUCGCCUUGUUUAUCUCUGACAUCAGCAGCACUCGCUGGAUUGGACAGAAACGAUGGCCGUCUUCUCAUGCAAGGAGCCCCGCCCUACUGAUUCAAGACCCUUCUACUGCCGCAAGGUGGCUGCUGCCCUUGUGGGCUUAUUCGCUCUUGGUCCUUCAAAAAUAAACAGUGCAAAAUUAGGAUUAAAUGUACAAAUU